rnacentral:rRNA from 1 species
GAUGAACGCUGGCGGCGUGCCUAAUACAUGCAGGUCGAGCGAACGGACGAGAAGCUUGCUUCUCUGAUGUUAGCGGCGGACGGGUGAGUAACACGUGGGUAACCUACCUAUAAGACUGGGAUAACUUCGGGAAACCGGAGCUAAUACCGGAUGAUAUUUUGAACCGCAUGGUUCAAAAGUGAAAGACGGUCUUGCUGUCACUUAUAGAUGGAUCCGCGCUGCAUUAGCUAGUUGGUAAGGUAACGGCUUACCAAGGCAACGAUGCAUAGCCGACCUGAGAGGGUGAUCGGCCACACUGGAACUGAGACACGGUCCAGACUCCUACGGGAGGCAGCAGUAGGGAAUCUUCCGCAAUGGGCGAAAGCCUGACGGAGCAACGCCGCGUGAGUGAUGAAGGUCUUCGGAUCGUAAAACUCUGUUAUUAGGGAAGAACAUAUGUGUAAGUAACUGUGCACAUCUUGACGGUACCUAAUCAGAAAGCCACGGCUAACUACGUG